UCUCCGUUGGUGAACCAGCGGAGGGAUCAUUACCGAGUUUACAACUCCCAAACCCAAUGUGAACGUUACCAAACUGUUGCCUCGGCGGGAUCUCUGCCCCGGGUGCGUCGCAGCCCCGGACCAAGGCGCCCGCCGGAGGACCAACCAAAACUCUUUUUGUAUACCCCCUCGCGGGUUUUUUUAUAAUCUGAGCCUUCUCGGCGCCUCUCGUAGGCGUUUCGAAAAUGAAUCAAAACUUUCAACAACGGAUCUCUUGGUUCUGGCAUCGAUGAAGAACGCAGCGAAAUGCGAUAAGUAAUGUGAAUUGCAGAAUUCAGUGAAUCAUCGAAUCCUUGAACGCACAUUGCGCCCGCCAGUAUUCUGGCGGGCAUGCCUGUCCGAGCGUCAUUUCAACCCUCGAACCCCUCCGGGGGGUCGGCGUUGGGGAUCGGCCCUGCCUCUUGGCGGUGGCCGUCUCCGAAAUACAGUGGCGGUCUCGCCGCAGCCUCUCCUGCGCAGUAGUUUGCACACUCGCAUCGGGAGCGCGGCGCGUCCACAGCCGUUAAACACCCAACUUCUGAAAUGUUGACCUCGGAUCAGGUAGGAAUACCCGCUGAACUUAA
rnacentral:rRNA from 1 species